CCGAAUGACCAAGGGUUCCUGGGCCAGGUUAAUCCGCCCAGGGUGAGUCGGGACCUAAGGCGAGGCCGACAGGCGUAGUCGAUGGACAACGGGUUGAUAUUCCCGUACCCGUGUGAACGCGCCCCUGGUGAAUCAGUGAUGCUAAGCGCCCUGAAGCCGCCUUCGAACCUUCGGGUUCUCCGGUGUGUGGAUGCGCGUGAACCGAUCUGGUAGUAGCCAAGCGAUGGGGUGACGCAGGAAGGUAGCUGAGCCAGUCAGUGGUAAUACUGGUGUAAGCGUGUAGGGCGUGACCUAGGCAAAUCCGGGUCACAUWCAGCCUGAGACGUGAUGCGUAGCCGAUUGAGGCGAAUUCAGUGAUCCUAUGCUGCCGAGAAAAGCCUCUAGCGAGCUUUCACACGGCCCGUACCCCAAACCGACACAGGUGGUCAGGUAGAGAAUACUAAGGCGAUCGAGAUAACUGUGGUUAAGGAACUCGGCAAAAUGCCCCCGUAACUUCGGGAGAAGGGGGGCCUCGUCUGGUGACGGAACUUGCUUCCUGAGCUGGGUGGGGCCGCAGAGACCAGAGAGAAGCGACUGUUUACUAAAAACACAGGUCCGUGCGAAGUCGUAAGACGAUGUAUACGGACUGACGCCUGCCCGGUGCUGGAAGGUUAAGAGGACCGGUUAGCCAGUAAUGGCGAAGCUGAGAAUUUAAGCCCCAGUAAACGG
rnacentral:rRNA from 2 species